UACGUAGGCAGCGAGCGUUGUUCGGAAUUACUGGGCGUAAAGAGUGUGUAGGCGGUGCUCCCAGUCUGUUGUGAAAUCUCCCGGCUUAACUGGGAGGGUGCAGCGGAAACUAGAGUGCUAGAGGGUGGGAGAGGUAAGCGGAAUUCCUGGUGUAGCGGCGAAAUGCGUAGAUAUCAGGAGGAACACCUGUGGUGUAGACAGCUUACUGGACCACUUCUGACGCUGAGACACGAAAGCGUGGGUAGCAAACAGG
rnacentral:rRNA from 1 species